ACUGUCUCAAAGAUAGCCAUGCAUGUCUAAGUAUAAGCAAUCUAUACAGGUGAAACUGCGAAUGGCUCAUUAAAUCAGUUAUCGUUUAUUUGAUAGUACCUUACUACUUGGAUAACCGUGGUAAUUCUAGAGCUAAUACAUGCUAAAAAUCCCGACCUCUGGAAGGGAUGUAUUUAUUAGAUAAAAAACCAAUGCCUUCGGGCUCCUUGGUGAUUCAUGAUAACUUUACGAAUCGCAUGGCCUUGUGCCGGCGAUGGUUCAUUCAAAUUUCUGCCCUAUCAACUUUCGAUGGUAGGAUAGUGGCCUACCAUGGUUUCAACGGGUAACGGGGAAUUAGGGUUCUAUUCCGGAGAGGGAGCCUGAGAAACGGCUACCACAUCCAAGGAAGGCAGCAGGCGCGCAAAUUACCCAAUCCCGACACGGGGAGGUAGUGACAAUAAAUACUGAUACAGGGCCCUUUCGGGUCUUGUAAUUGGAAUGAGUACAAUUUAAAUCCAUUAACGAGGAACAAUUGGAGGGCAAGUCUGGUGCCAGCAGCCGCGGUAAUUCCAGCUCCAAUAGCGUAUAUUAAAGUUGUUGCAGUUAAAAAGCUCGUAGUUGAACCUUGGGUCUGGGUGACCGGUCCGCCUCACCGCGUGCACUGGGAACCUGGAUCUUUCCUUCUGGCAAACCUCAUGCCCUUUACUGGGUGUGUUGGGGAACCAGGACUUUUACUUUGAAAAAAUUAGAGUGUUCAAAGCAGGCAUUUGCUCGAAUACAUUAGCAUGGAAUAAUAGAAUAGGACGUGCGGUUCUAUUUUGUUGGUUUCUAGGACCGCCGUAAUGAUUAAUAGGGAUAGUCGGGGGCAUCCGUAUUCAAUUGUCAGAGGUGAAAUUCUUGGAUUUAUUGAAGACGAACUACUGCGAAAGCAUUUGCCAAGGAUGUUUUCAUUAAUCAGGAACGAAAGUUGAGGGAUCGAAGACGAUCACGAUACCGUCGUAGUCUCAACCAUAAACUAUGCCGACUAGGGAUCGGGCGAUGUUUUAUUCUGACUCGCUCGGCACCUUACGAGAAAUCAAAGUCUUUGGGUUCUGGGGAGAGUAU
rnacentral:rRNA from 1 species